AUUGAACGCUGGCGGCAGGCCUAACACAUGCAAGUCGAGCGAGCGGCGGACGGGUUAGUAAUGUCUGGGAAACUGCCUGAUGGAGGGUGGUAACUACUGGAAACGGUAGAUAAUACCGCAUACCAUCAGAUAUGCCCAGAUGGGAUGAGCUAGUAGGUGGGGUAACGGCGCACUUAGGCGACGAUCCCUAGCUGGUCUGAGAGGAUGACCAGCAACACUGGAAGUGAGACACGGGCAAGACUCCUACGGGAGGAAGCAGUGGGUAAGAUGGCACAAUGGGCGCAAGCCUGAUGCAGCCAUGCCGCGUGUGUGAAGAAGUCCUUCGGGUUGUAAAGCACUUUCAGCGGGGAGGCGUUACCCGCAGAAGAAGCACCGGCUAACUCCGUGCCAGCAGCCGCGGUAAUAC
rnacentral:rRNA from 1 species